CGGGCUCCUGUGGGGGGAGAAGAGGACCAAUCAGAGAGGUUGUGGUUUCUGGGCUUCGUUUUCUCUCUUUCUGGAGGUGACUCUUUUCCCAGCUGUGAUGUCCGCUGACCCCCGCCCCCCACGCCCGACCCGGCGAGUCCGGUUCUGGAGAACCAAAACUACCGGAGUCCACCGAGCCGCAGCUGAAAGUUUCCUCUGUGUAUGAGAAGAUGUCAUUACCCAGGUGUCACACAAGGUACGUCGCAUAAUGAGUAACAGCGAAGAACUGUCUCAAGACCUUCACACCGCACAACAAUCUGAUGGUAUUGGUUACAGAAGGAUUUCUAAACUUCUGAACAUGUUGAGAAAGUAAUCUGGAAGCGUAAAGAACAUCAUUAGAUCGUGGAAUGGCCGCGACCAGACGCAAGAUUUCUGACAGAGGACUGAAAAGAGUUAUCAGGAGAGUUGACCAACAACCCAGGACCACAUGUGGAGACUUUCAGAAAGACCUGAAUCAUCAUGAACAACUGUGUCAAAGAAACCAAUAAGCAGUGAACUGAACUGCCAUGGCCUGUACUCGAAACCAAAAAUUCCACUUCGGAAGAAAAAGCAUGUUGAAGCCUGUUUAAAGUUCGCUGGACAACAUUUGGAGAAAAUUACUGGGAGAAAACAGUCUGGUCAUAUGAGAGCAGAAUGGAACUAUUUGGAUGCCGUAACACAUUUCAUCAUCGUGUUCGGAGGAUGAAACGCCAAAAACACCACAGAGACAGUGAAGUUUGGAGAUGGGAACAAACACAGUUGUAAAAGAAAAAGUUGUAAAAAUUACGAAGGUUUGUA